GUUGUAGUUCCCCCUCUCAUCUCGUAGUGCUAUAAU
rfam:Simonsiella muelleri ATCC 29453 genomic scaffold supercont1.4, whole genome shotgun sequence.